rnacentral:rRNA from 1 species
UACGUAGGGGGCAAGCGUUGUCCGGAUUUAUUGGGCGUAAAGAGCGUGUAGGCGGCCUUGACAGGUCCGUUGUGAAAACUCGAGGCUCAACCUCGAGAUGUCGAUGGAAACCGUCUGGCUAGAGUCCGGAAGAGGAGUGUGGAAUUCCUGGUGUAGCGGUGAAAUGCGCAGAUAUCAGGAAGAACACCUAUGGCGAAGGCAGCACUCUGGGACGGUACUGACGCUGAGACGCGAAAGCGUGGGGAGCGAACAGG